CCUUUGACGUUAGCGGCGGACGGGUGAGUAACACGUGGGUAACCUACCUAUAAGACUGGGAUAACUUCGGGAAACCGGAGCUAAUACCGGAUAAUAUUUCGAACCGCAUGGUUCGAUAGUGAAAGGUGGUUUUGCUAUCACUUAUAGAUGGACCCGCGCCGUAUUAGCUAGUUGGUAAGGUAACGGCUUACCAAGGCGACGAUACGUAGCCGACCUGAUAGGGUGAUCGGCCACACUGGAACUGAGACACGGUCCAGACUCCUACGGGAGGCAGCAGCU
rnacentral:rRNA from 1 species